GCCACUACUAUUGGGGUUCGGCUAAGCCAUGCGAGUGGAGGGCGUCCCGCAAGGGAUGGCCCCGCAGACGGCUCAGUAACACGUCGUCAACCCACCUUAGGGUGGGGGACAACCUCGGGAAACUGAGGAUAAUCCCCCAUAGGCGGGGGAGGCUGGAAUGCGCCCCCGCUGAAAGCUCAGGCGCCCUAGGACGGGACGGCGGCCUAUCAGGUAGUUGGUGGUGUGACG
rnacentral:rRNA from 1 species